AGGACGAACGCUGGCGGCGUGCUUAACACAUGCAAGUCGAGCGGAAAGGCCCUUCGGGGUACUCGAGCGGCGAACGGGUGAGUAACACGUGAGUAAUCUGCCCCUAGCUCUGGGAUAGCUCCGGGAAGCCGGGAUUAAUACCGGAUAUGACCACUUUAGACAUCUGCUGUGGUGGAAGAUUUCGGCUAGGGAUGAGCUCGCGGCCUAUCAGCUUGUUGGUGGGUAACGGCCUACCAAGGCGACGACGGGUA
rnacentral:rRNA from 1 species